rnacentral:rRNA from 1 species
AAUCUGGCACUUUUUACAAGUGUCCGAGUUGUAAUUUGUAGAACUGUUAUCCGUACUGGACCAUGUACAAGUCUGUUGAAAAGCAGCAUCAUUGAAGGUGAAAAUCCUGUAGAUGAUAUGGACUACCAGUAUAUUUGUGAUACGGUUUCUAAGAGUCGAGUUGUUUGGGAAUGCAGCUCAAAGUGGGUGGUAAAUUCCAUCUAAGGCUAAAUAUAAGUGAGAGACCGAUAGCAAACAAGUACCGUGAGGGAAAGAUGAAAAGAACUUUGAAAAUAGAGUUAACAGUACGUGAAAUUGCUGAAAGGGAAACGUUUGAAGUUAGUUUUGUAUUCGUUGGAUCAGCUUCGCAAGGAGUGUAUUCUGAUGAUAAGCAAGUCAACAUCAAUCUAUGAGUAUUGGAAAAGGUUUUUGAGAAUGUAGCAAUUUAAUUGUGUUAUAGAUCGAAACUUGACUACAAUGCUUUGGAUUGAG